rnacentral:ribozyme from 1 species
UGCCCAGCAACUCCUAUCCCUACCUCCUCGGGAUGCGAUAGGGAAGAUCGGGUAACCAACCCCGGUAGGACUUCUGGUCGUAUGCUGACAGGGAAGG